UUCGGAUCGCAGGCUGCAACCCGCCUGCGUGAAGUUGGAAUCGCUAGUAAUCGCGGAUCAGCAUGCCGCGGUGAAUACGUUCCCGGGCCUUGUACACACCGCCCGUCACACCAUGAGAGUCGGGAACACCCGAAGUCCGUAGCCUAACAGCAAUGGGGGCGCGGCCGAAGGUGGGUUCGAUAAUUGGGGUGAAGUCGUAACAAGGUAGC
rnacentral:rRNA from 1 species